rnacentral:sRNA from 1 species
UCCGUAGGUGAACCUGCGGAAGGAUCAUUAAUAGUGCCCUCUGAUGCAAAUCAUUGGGUUAGAUCUGCUCUCUUCGCAAGAAGAGGGUUUCCAUACACACCGUGAACUGUGGCUUCGGCCAUCACAAACUGUUAGUAAUGAAUGUAAUAUCAUAACAAAAACAAAACUUUUAACAACGGAUCUCUUGGCUCUCGCAUCGAUGAAGAACGCAGCGAAAUGCGAUAAGUAAUGUGAAUUGCAGAAUUCAGUGAAUCAUCGAAUCUUUGAACGCACCUUGCGCCCUUUGGUAUUCCGAAGGGCAUGCCUGUUUGAGUGUCAUGAAACCUCACCCCACUUGGGUUUUUGCCUGAGCGGUGGUGUAUUGGGUGUUGCCUUGCUAAAGGCUCGCCUUAAAGACAUAAGCACCUUGGAUGUAAUACGUUUCAUCCUUCUGGGUGGCUGAUAACCCCACAUAUUCAUGAUCUGGCCUCAAAUCAGGUAGGGCUACCCGCUGAACUUAAGCAUAUCAAUAAGCGGAGGAAAAGAAACUAACUAGGAUUCCCUUAGUAACGGCGAGUGAACCGGGAUGAGCUCAAAUUUAAAAUCUGGCGUCUUUCAGGCGUCCGAGUUGUAAUCUAUAGAGGCGUUUUCCGCGCCGGACCGCGUCCAAGUCUCUUGGAAUAGAGUAUCAAAGAGGGUGACAAUCCCGUACUUGACGCGACAACCGGUGCUCUGUGAUACGUUCUCAAUGAGUCGAGUUGUUUGGGAAUGCAGCUCUAAAUGGGUGGUAAAUUCCAUCUAAGGCUAAAUAUUGGCGAGAGACCGAUAGCGAACAAGUACCGUGAGGGAAAGAUGAAAAGCACUUCGGAAAGAGAGUUAAACAGCACGUGAAAUUGUUAAAAGGGAAACGCUUGAAGU